AUCGGUCAACAUGAAAUCACUGAACACAGAAUUCAAAAGGAAACUAUAAUCAGCUGUGGUGGCCUGUUGGGGCUGUCUCCAACACAGCACAACAAGGUUGCCCAAAUUAUGAGUAAAAAACAAGACCUAUCAGGUAGCCAUAACGUCUGCAAAGAAAUGAUGAAAUGCUAGGGCAUGAGCCAUAUUUCUUGGAAAACAACAGCUGUGUUUAUUCAAAUAGUAGCAUACUGAUGACUUGAUGAUAGGGUAAUCUGCUGGAAUUCCAAGUGUGACGGUCCCAGAGACAACUUCUCAGCA